rnacentral:pre_miRNA from 1 species
GAAGGCGAAAAGGAGCUCUUCUUCAGUCCAGUCCGAGGCAGCGGAGGGCUAUACUUGGCUGCUGACUCGUUGGUUCACAAGCUCAUCAUCAUCAAAGUUCAAACAAAUUAUGCAUGUGUUUCUGAUCCAACGAUGCAGGAGCUGCGUUCAGCUCUACCCUAUCACGUCUUGGACUGAAGGGAGCUCCCUUUUUAUUAUCA